rnacentral:rRNA from 1 species
ACUCCUACGGGAGGCAGCAGUUGGGAAUCUUGGACAAUGGAGGAAACUCUGAUCCAGCCAUGCCGCGUGAGUGAUGAAGGCCUUCGGGUUGUAAAACUCUUUCGACGGGGACGAUAAUGACGGUACCCGUAGAAGAAGCUCCGGCUAACUUCGUGCCAGCAGCCGCGGUAAUACGAAGGGGGCUAGCGUUGUUCGGAAUUACUGGGCGUAAAGCGCGCGCAGGCGGCCAUCCAAGUCAGGGGUGAAAGCCCGGAGCUCAACUCCGGAACUGCCUUUGAAACUGUUUGGCUUGAGUACGGGAGAGGUGAGUGGAAUUCCCAGUGUAGAGGUGAAAUUCGUAGAUAUUGGGAAGAACACCGGUGGCGAAGGCGGCUCACUGGCCCGUUUCUGACGCUCAUGCGCGACAGCGUGGGGAUCAAACAGGAUUAGAUACCCUGGUAGUCCACGCCGUAAACGAUGGAUGCUAGCCGUUGGCGAGCUUGCUCGUCAGUGGCGCAGCUAACGCAUUAAGCAUCCCGCCUGGGGAGUACGGCCGCAAGGUUGAAACUCAAAGGAAUUGACGG